rnacentral:lncRNA from 1 species
UGUAGUUUUAACUGGGUGACCCUGUGCCAAAGAAACACUCCUGCUACCAUUGAAGAAGGGGAGCUACUCUGCCACAUUUGUGAUUCCCCAUCACUAGGGAGGCACCACAUAUUCAUUUGCUCCAGUGACAUCAUCUCCUGUCCUCCCCUCAUGAUGAACAGUGUCCUCAAAUAAGCCAAGAAGUAAUAUAACUUUAUAUUUACAAG